GGUAUGGGAUGAGCUUGCGUCCGAUUAGCUAGUUGGCGGGGCAACGGCCCACCAAGGCGACGAUCGGUAGCCGGCCUGAGAGGGUGAUCGGCCACAUUGGGACUGAGAUACGGCCCAGACUCCUACGGGAGGCAGCAGUAGGGAAUAUUGCACAAUGGGGGGAACCCUGAUGCAGCAACGCCACGUGUGGGAAGAAGCAUUUCGGUGUGUAAACCACUGUCGUGAGGGAAUAAUACGCGGUUUCGGCCGCGGGGGAAUGUACCUCGAAAGGAAGCACCGGCAAACUUCGUGCCAGCAGCCGCGGUAAUACGAGGGGUGCAAGCGUUGUUCGGAAUCACUGGGCGUAAAGGGAGCGCAGGCGGAAGCUCAAGCGGAUUGUACAAUACCGGGGCCCAACCCCGGACCUGCAGUCCGAACUGGGUUUCUUGGAUAGUUCAGGGGCAGGC
rnacentral:rRNA from 1 species